AUACGUAGGAUCCGAGCGUUAUCCGGAUUUAUUGGGUUUAAAGGGUGCGCAGGCGGCCAUUUAAGUCAGCGGUUAAAUCGUGGGGCUCAACCCCAUUCUGCCGUUGAUACUGGGUGGCUUGAUUGCGGUCGAGGUUGGCGGAAUUCGUUGUGUAGUGGUGAAAUGCAUAGAUAUGACGAAGAACACCGAUUGCGUAGGCAGCUGACCAGACCGCAAAUGACGCUCAUGCACGAAAGUGCGGGGAUCGAACAGGAUUAGAUACCCUGGUAGUCCGCACAGUAAACGAUGAAUACUUGUUUUCGGCGAUAUAAUGUCGGAGGCAAAGCGAAAGCGAUAAGUAUUCCACCUGGGGAGUACGCCGGCAACGGUGAAACUUAAAGGAAUUGACGGGG
rnacentral:rRNA from 1 species